UACGGAGGAUGCGAGCGUUAUCCGGAUUUAUUGGGUUUAAAGGGUGCGUAGGCGGAUCGUUAAGUCAGUGGUCAAAUUGAGGGGCUCAACCCCUUCCCGCCAUUAAAACUGGCGAUCUUGAGUGGAAGAGAAGUAUGCGGAAUGCGUGGUGUAGCGGUGAAAUGCAUAGAUAUCACGCAGAACCCCGAUUGCGAAGGCAGCAUGCCGGCUUCCUACUGACGCUGAAGCACAAAAGCGUGGGGAUCGAACAGG
rnacentral:rRNA from 1 species